UACGGAGGGGGUUAGCGUUGUUCGGAAUUACUGGGCGUAAAGCGCACGUAGGCGGAUCAGAAAGUUGGGGGUGAAAUCCCGGGGCUCAACCCCGGAACUGCCUCCAAAAACUCCUGGUCUUGAGUUCGAGAGAGGUGAGUGGAAUUCCGAGUGUAGAGGUGAAAAUUCGUAGAUAUUCGGAGGAACACCAGUGGCGAAGGCGGCUCACUGGCUCGAUACUGACGCUGAGGUGCGAAAGUGUGGGGAGCAAAACAGGAUUAAUACCCGG
rnacentral:rRNA from 1 species